UUGAUUGUACUCAGUUUGUUGAUGUGGUGUGAAAAGAAAAAACAACUUGCACGAUACCUCAUUCGAAGCACAAAGCUCACAUAAAGCUGCAAUACUGCAGUGCUUGCCAAGUGUAUUUAGUGCUGAUUGCAUUUGGCACUGUACAUAUCCUGGAUAUCCAUCCUGUCAUUGGGUAGAGCAAAUACUGAUUAGAUUUUUUUCAGAGGAAUGAUGUGGUAUGCUAGUUUUACCAUUGCAUGUGCAAACUAACUUCAUAUCAGUUUUACUCAGGUCCAAACGGAGUAGAAAAACUGUACUACAAACGUUUUCCAGGGUAGACAACAUGUUGGUGCCUGAAGCCACUCUGCGGGGCACGACAAAGACGGACCGGGAUCAGGAGACUUGCCUCUUGGCAGUCACGGCGUAACAUGCGCGCACCCAUCUGCCGUUCAAAUAAGAUCCAAUGGCACUGAGUGGCCCAAGUGAAAACAAGCCACUUCGUUCCUGAUCCAAAGAUUAACUAGAUAUAAUUAGCUCACGAGGCUAUAAUCUCCUUACUUGUAAAUGAUGUAGCCAUGUUGUUUAAUGAAUAAAGCAGAUUUAACUUUUAAAAAUAUAGUGGACGGUUUGCCAGAAUAGAAUCUGCAUCAUGC